CGUGAAGUCGGAAUCGCUAGUAAUCGCGGAUCAGCAUGCCGCGGUGAAUACGUUCCCGGGCCUUGUACACACCGCCCGUCACACCAUGAGAGUCGGGAACACCCGAAGUCCGUAGCCUAACCGCAAGGGGGGCGCGGCCGAAGGUGGGUUCGAUAAUUGGGGUGAAGUCGUAACAAGGUAGC
rnacentral:rRNA from 1 species